CGCAUCCUCUGCCGCCAUCGUUGCUCGCCCCGGUCCCCGUCCUGCAGCGGUGGCCGAGGAGGACUAGCCGCGCCACGGCCGCACGUCCCGUCCUGCAGCGAUGGUCCACGGGAUCGGCACCGGCACCGGCCUCCUUGCUCCCGCUUGAGUCAUGGAGGGACAACCAGCAGCGGCGGCCCAGGAGAUCGACGACUAGCGAGGCGAGUCGCCUUCGAUUCUGCAGGAGCCCGAUGGUUGUCUCCUCCUCCACAGCCGCACACGAGCGGCCAGCCCUGGACUAGGUCGCGACAUGAGAAGCGGACGUCCGAGGCAUGUCCAGCGCCACUGCCCGCUCGAUACGUCCCCCGCCCCAGCUGCCGACCCCCUCCUCCACGGCGGCGCCUUCGUCCCCGGCGAUGCACGGCAGCAGCCCACUACAGGACGGUGAAGAUAGGGGACAAGAGCUGCUCGCUGCAGCCGCUUGUCGGCGGCCCCAACGGCCUCGUCCCCUGCCAAGAUGAUAAGCCGCGAGAUGGCGGUGCCGCCGAUGGCCAGCCGCAGGACGAGACCAGGGACAAUAGGCCCCUGAUCGACAAUAACACCGUGCAGACGCUGUCCAGCAAGGACAUCGAGGCGAUGAAGCGGGAGGAUGCCAGCGGUGACUCCAUCGUGGAGGCUUUGAUAGCAAAUGGCUCCACAUUUGGAAAUAAGACAGUGUUCUCAGAGAAAUACAAGCUGAAGGAACAAAACAAAUAUGCGCCUAAAGUGCUUUUGCGGCGCCCCUCUACCCGAAGGUUUAUGUGA
rnacentral:rRNA from 1 species